UACAGAGACUGCAAGCGUUAUUCGGAUUCACUGGGCGUAAAGGGCGCGUAGGCGGCCUGCUAAGUCGGAUGUGAAAUCCCUCGGCUCAACCGAGGAACUGCAUCCGAUACUGGCGGGCUUGAAUCCGGGAGAGGGAUGUGGAAUUCCAGGUGUAGCGGUGAAAUGCGUAGAUAUCUGGAGGAACACCGGUGGCGAAGGCGGCAUCCUGGACCGGUAUUGACGCUGAGGCGCGAAAGCUAGGGGAGCAAACGGG
rnacentral:rRNA from 1 species